rnacentral:rRNA from 1 species
CCUAUCAGCUUGUUGGUGAGGUAGUGGCUCACCAAGGCGACGACGGGUAGCCGGCCUGAGAGGGCGACCGGCCACACUGGGACUGAGACACGGCCCAAACUCCUACGGGAGGCAGCAGUGGGGAAUAUUGCACAAUGGGCGAAAGCCUGAUGCACCCACGCCGCGUGAGGGAUGACGGCCUUCGGGUUGUAAACCUCUUUCAACAGGGAAAAAGCAAAAGUGACGGUACCUGCAAAAGAAGCGCCGGCUAACUACGUGCCAGCAGCCGCGGUAAUACGUAGGGCGCAUGCGUUGUCCGGAAUUAUUGGGCGUAAAGAGCUCGUAGGCGGCUUGUCACGUCGGUAGUGAAAGCCCGGGGCUUAACCCCGGGUCUGCAGUCGAUACGGGCAG